UUCCAGCUCCGGCUCCGAAACCUUCCCCGUGCCCAUUUUCGCCACCUCCUCCACCUCCACCUCCACCGCCACCGCCACCACCGCCGUUGUCACUUAUACCAACUCCAGCUCCCGAACCUUCCCCAUGUCCAUAUCCCCCAUUGUCAGCAUCACCACCUCCUCCUCUUUGGCCGCCACCAGCUCCGUUAUAUCCAAAGAAGCUCCCACAACUUCGCCAGUUUUGAUAGCAAUUUUCUUCAUUUGGCCAAUUGCCCGGUUCACCGCUACAGAGGAGAGUAGCUGAGACUAAAAUAAGCAUAAGAAGAAGAGUCUUAUUUUUGCUGCUAGAAAGUCCCAUACUAAACUAUAUAAUUGCAAGUUAAUAAUGUAUGUAGUACGUUUUAGAGGCUUUUGGGGGACGGGAAUACCAAACUAGACGUACUACUGAUCAUGAAUGGGAUGGGAGUAUAUAUUAUCUAAUCGUCUCUUAUUUAUAUACCCAUGAAGCACUACUCCAUUCACCUAUGACCUACCUCUACCAGGC
rnacentral:lncRNA from 1 species